AUUUGCUUGCUAUUACCAGGGUUGCAUAAUUGUUGCUACUAAUGGGUUUUCUCUACAAGCCAACAAUCAGAUUAUCUAUAUGACAUUAGCCAUACUGAAAUAGUUUCUCAGAGAACUCAGAGUUAAGCCAGUCACCCUGUAUUCCUACCAUUAAACAAGGGGGUUGGAUCUUGGGAUAGAGGCAGAGGACUGUUUUUAGCUAUGCCCAAAGUACAUCACAGAAAAGUGACCAACAGAGAUCUCUAUACUAGCAACAAAGUCUUUACAUAGUAAGUGUCCAUAAACCUAAGCACAAAGCAAAACAGAAGGAUACCCCCCAAAAAACACCUGCAACAGAAACAUGAGAAGACUAGGCAAGAAAGUGCUUCCUGCAAUUCCUAACUGCCCUGGAGCCAGUCCAAGAGGGGUCGAGGGGGAGGAUAGCAGAAGCCUCCCAUGGAAGUACUACAAAGAAGAGCAGGGGAGGUUAGAAAACAGAACAAGGAGGUAGUGAGGGAGGUUACAGAGUGUACAAGUAGACAGAUAGCGGAGGUGUUAAUGAAAAAUUUUGUCAGCAAUUCUUCAUGCAGAGGACUGACAACUAGAAUGUAUAAAGAACUAAAAAAAUCAUUAGACCCCCCCCAAAUAAAAGACCCAAUCAAAAAGCAGGCAAAUGAAAUGAAUAGGAACUUUUCAGAAGAAGUGCAAGCGGCCAAUGAAUACAUGAAAAAAAGUUCAAAUCACUGGCUAUUGGAGAAAUGCAAAGGAAAACAACACUGAGACUUCAUCUCCCUUCAGAUAGAAUGGGUGUCAUCAAGAAAUCAAAUAAGAACAAAAUGCUGGUGAGGCUGCAGAGGAAAAGGAGCCCAUCUGCAUUGUUGGUAGGCAUGUAAACUAGUACAAGCACUGUGGAGGCCAGUAUGGAGAUUCUUUAAAAAACUAAAACUAAACACUCUAAUUUAACCACAUGGCCUUCAAGUCAUCUUCCUGAAAGAAAGUGAUACUAGCAUACUUGUGUUUUAUAACAGCUAAUUAUUGGAAACAACCUGAAUGCCCCUCAGUAGAUGAAUGGAUAAAGAGAAUGUGACAUUUGUGCACCAUGGAGUAAUACUUUGUCCUAAGGAAGGAUAAACAGGAGGAAUUAAUAGACAAAUGGACACGCCUUGAGUCUAUAAAGUUAAGUGAAGUAAAUCAGAUACACAGAUUUAUGUAUCACAUAGAAUUAAAGAGCAAAAUAAAAGACAUCAUAGGAAGUAGAAAGUAGAGAGAUCUUUUUAAAAGGUAAGCGGAACAAGAGUUGGAGGGAGGUAGAAGGAAGGGAAAAGGGAUUUGACACUUUCACAAGGGGGCCUUAACUCCUAUGUCUCACUGCUGGGUGAUGGGAACCACUGGUGAUACGUGCGUGAUGGUCCCAUUGUGCAGCUUUUUAUUAAUUUGGUUAGUUAAGAUGCUGAUAAAAGUAUUAGAUCCUUUUACAAAUGGACAGCCAUACAUGUACUAGCAGUGGGUUUGAGCCAACAGGAGCGUGUUAAAAAAGGAUUGAAAAAAUGGAAAGAGAGUUUUUUUCAAAUGGGAAGUAGAAUAAGACGUGGAGCAGGGAUGUCUGGGAGAGGAAAGAGACACAAAAAAAGAACUAAGAUAUGCUAUGUACAUGCACAAACUCUCCACAAUAAAUGUAAUAAUUAUGUAUUUCCAACAUAAUAAAUUUUUUACAAAAAGAGCUGAGUCAUAGGGUUUGGGGUACACUAGAAGACUGGAUUAUAAACAUGCUAUCUAAUUUAAUUCUAAGUUGUUAAACGGAUGAAUUUGGUUAUUGAGGCUCAGAGGAUUUGAAGUUUGAAGGCUCAAGGGUGGGUUUGAGCCUAGCUCUGAUGUCAAAGCCUCACCUGACAAGCCUGCUGCAGCUGGGAUUGUGACAUCAGAAAAGUGGCUCACAUUUCAGGCCUGUCCCUCCCAUUUGGGACAGUGCUUUCAAAAGCUUUGGCUGAGAAAGGACUUGCCUGCAGAUUUACCGAAUUUGCCUACCGAUUUACUGAAUUUGUCUACAGAUUUACUGGAUUUGCACUCGUUCACAUUCCUACAGCUUCGGCUGGAAGGCAGACAUGCCUUGGGCAUCCUCCAAAAAUAACUGGAGACAGUGCGUCCACCCUUUGAUAGUCACCCUCUACCUGGUAUCCAUCAUGGUGGCAGUUCCCCUGUGUGUAUGGCAGCUAGAGCGGGUCCAGAAAACUGGUCAAGCAAGCUCAGAGAGAAAAUCCUUAAGCCACUGCAUGGACCCAGAACAGAAGAGGAAUCCAAAGUUAAGGACAUGUGAACGUACCGCCCGGUAGGGCCCUUCACCCCCCUCCCAAACAGCUCCCUCUGGACCUACCCAAAGGAAACGUGGAGAGCAGGUUAGGCACACAGGACUACGUAGAGGUAAAGCGUCAAACUCUUGGAAGUAAGCAAGUUGGGCCUGACCCCUAAAGGAGGGUCCUGGGGCCGUGCUGACGUGCACAGGGGUCAGAGGCUGCCAAAGCCCCAGCAGACAGGGGCACUUCUGGUGUUUUCCAGCAGCUGGCGAUUAGCAUCUUGUGUGGGAUUUUCUGCACACUGUGGGAUAUUUACCAUCCUGAUCGUCCACCCAAAUGCCUCUAAAUUCCUGGCACUAUGUUCAGGAAACACGUUCGGCAUAUUUCUAAAUGCCCACUGGGGGGCAGUAUCAUCUUGAUUACAUUAUCAUGUAUUUCCCAAUAAAAACACUUUCUAAAAAUGUAGAAGGAUAUAAUUGAAAGAUCGUAGUUGAUGUUUGUCUUCUCAGUUGUUUUUGUUUUUGUUUCUGUGUUUUUGUUCUCCUCUCCACUGCCAGGCCUCCCUUGGUCGCCACUGAGUCAAUAGAAUUCAUUACUUCAGGACUGGUGUGACAUAACCACGAACAAAGACAUCUAUGUUUCCGAAGGACAUCUUAAAAUCCAAAGGAGGGAAGUGGUUCCAGCGCCUGCCUUGCAAGCGCAAGAUCCCGAGUGCGAU